AAAAGCUUUCUUUAAUUGAAUAAUUGAAUUUAAUUUUUUAGUGCAAAAGCAAAAAUAAAAAUUAGGGACAAGAAGACCCUAUGAAUUUUUUAUUAAAUUUUAUAAAACUUUAUAUAAAAUUUAAUUUAAUUGGGGUGAUGGAAAAAGAAUAAAUAUCUUUUUUUUUUAAAAAAAAUUGGUUCCGUUUUUAGCGAUUAAAUGAAAAAAAUACUCUAGGGAUAACAGCGUAAUAAUUUUGGAUAGUUCAUAUAGAUAAAAUAGUUUGCGACCUCGAUGUUGGAUUAGGAUUCUUUUUUGGUGAAGAAGUUAAAAAAAGAAGUUUGUUCAACUUAUAAUUUCCUACUUGAUCUGAGUUCAGACCGG
rnacentral:rRNA from 1 species